rnacentral:tRNA from 1 species
GUUUUAAUAAUUUAAAAAAAAAUAAUGAUCUUGUAAGUCAUAAAUAGAUUUAACUCUUUAAAACU